GACGAACGCUGGCGGCGUGCCUAAUACAUGCAAGUCGAGCGCAGGAAACUGACGGAACUCUUCGGAGGGAAGGCAGUGGAAUGAGCGGCGGACGGGUGAGUAACACGUAAGGAACCUGCCUCAAGGAUUGGGAUAACUCCGAGAAAUCGGAGCUAAUACCGGAUAGUUCAUCGGACCGCAUGGUCCGUUGAUGAAAGGCGCUCCGGCGUCACCUUGAGAUGGCCUUGCGGUGCAUUAGCUAGUUGGUGGGGUAACGGCCCACCAAGGCGACGAUGCAGAGCCGACCUGAGAGGGUGAUCGGCCACACUGGGACUGAGACACGGCCCAGACUCCUACGGGAGGCAGCAGUAGGGAAUCUUCCACAAUGGACGAAAGUCUGAUGGAGCAACGCCGCGUGAGUGAUGAAGGUUUUCGGAUCGUAAAACUCUGUUGUAAGGGAAGAACACGUACGAGAGGGAAUGCUCGUACCUUGACGGUACCUUACGAGAAAGCCACGGCUAACUACGUGCCAGCAGCCGCCGUAA
rnacentral:rRNA from 1 species